UCUUGAGUCGGCAUGAUCUGUUGGAUGAGCAUAGGUGUCAGCAGGCGGGAGUGGGUUUUCCACGGAGGUGCCUGCCUGCCUGCCUGCCUUGGAGGCGCGCAGAUUUUUGUCCUUUUCUUCGCUUUUCUUUCCCUUCCCCCUUCAGAUUAAACAGGCUCUGCGGCGAGUUUCCACUUAAUUGUGACCUUUCCGUUGCUGUCA
rnacentral:lncRNA from 10 species